rnacentral:rRNA from 1 species
CCUACGGGAGGCAGCAGUGGGGAAUAUUGCACAAUGGGGGAAACCCUGAUGCAGCCAUGCCGCGUGUGUGAAGAAGGCCUUCGGGUUGUAAAGCACCUUCAGUUGUGAGGAAAAGUUAGUAGUUAAUACCUGCUAGCCGUGACGUUAACAACAGAAGAAGCACCGGCUAACUCCGUGCCAGCAGCCGCGGUAAUACGGAGGGUGCGAGCGUUAAUCGGAAUUACUGGGCGUAAAGCGCACGCAGGCGGUUUGUUAAGCUAGAUGUGAAAGCCCCGGGCUCAACCUGGGAUGGUCAUUUAGAACUGGCAGACUAGAGUCUUGGAGAGGGGAGUGGAAUUCCAGGUGUAGCGGUGAAAUGCGUAGAUAUCUGGAGGAACAUCAGUGGCGAAGGCGACUCCCUGGCCAAAGACUGACGCUCAUGUGCGAAAGUGUGGGUAGCGAACAGGAUUAGAUACCCUGGUAGUCCACACCGUAAACGCUGUCUACUAGCUGUGUGUGUCUUUAAGACGUGCGUAGCGAAGCUAACGCGCUAAGUAGACCGCCUGGGGAGUACGGCCGCAAGGUUAAAACUCAAAUGAAUUGACGGA